CACAUGCUACCCAUGCUGCACCUCCUUCACGCCCUCGUUUAUCUGCUUCAUGCCUUGCCACGCUGUUCAUUUUGUCUAAGUAAGUCUUUGUUUAUAGUUCAUAGCCAAUUGUUUUUGUGCAAAGUCCUUUCGUUUAUGUCCAUCAUUUCAUGCCAUCGAGCAGGUGUUUUUGUUUCACGUUUGUACUGUUUAGCCAAGUUUCUUCCUCCUUUGUGAGCGCUUUUUGUUGUUUGUUUGUUUAUUAAGUAAACAACCAUGUACUCACGUCCACGCCGCACUCGUGCUGAUUCUCUUCUGCAUCGAAGAAACAAUCCACGUCCACGCCUUGUUGUGACACAAUUAAGGGUGGCGUGGCCUGCGGACCUGCAGCGAAGCGGGGUGUGCCAGGACCGGCUUUGAGAUCAGUGACAGGCAGCAGCCGGGGAGGAGAGAGGUGGUGGAACUGGAGCGAGCGAGAGAGAGAGACCAACAACAAAAGACAAUUGCUGAAAAGCACAAGACAGACUUUAUUGGAAAAUAAAACUGUUAGGCUUGGACUGUGGAUGUAUGUGCUUCCUCGAUGCAAGGAUGAUGUGGGACUAGUCAGGCAUGAAUGUAAGUACAUGAUAUUUAUUAAAUAAACAAACAAACUACAAAAAGGCAAACGAAGGACGCGCUCUGUGGCGGAUAAAAAUCUAUACUAUACUUAAAACAAAACAGCACAAUGGCAUGACUAUAUACAAACAAAACAAAACUAGCACAAUGGCAUUAAUACAAAAACUUAAACGGCAUGGAACUGUGGACGA